rnacentral:lncRNA from 1 species
CCUCCUCCCAAAAAAAAUUCUUCUUUCUAGUAAAGUGGUCAAAUUUUGGGAGACUGAAUAUAACAGAACAGACAAGGAAUAGCUGCAUAAUCUUGAAAAGGUCCUAGUUAAGCCUCAGUCUUUUCAUCAUUAAAAUGAUAUUUUUAAUACAGGUCCACAAUCUCUACUCUGCAAUCCCAAAAUAAGACAAAAACAGAAAACACGCUGAAACUCAAAAGUGUUUUGUGAGUUUGGCACUGGGAAUCUUUGACAACAAAACAAACUGUGGAUAAACAUGAAGCCUCCAUUUUCUCACUACUCAUAUCCAUUCAACACACAUACCUCUGUUAUUUGCUGACGUUUUGUGACUUGGGAAUUAAUAGCAUUGGAAAAUGUCCAAAAGAGUUAAAGAUAUACCAACGGAUAAUGGUGAGAAGAAGAAAAGGAAGCAUCUGUCUUUAUCAAUAGCUCAGAAAGUAGAGUUAUUACAGAAGCUUGAUGCUGGUGUGUCUGUAAGGUGUCUUACAGAAGAAUAUGGUGUGGGGACCACCACCAUAUAUGACUUAAAGAAACAGAAAGACAAAUUGCUGAAAUUUUACAGUGACAGUGAUAACCAAGAACUAAUGAAAAACAGAAAAACAUUACAUAGGGCCAAAAAUGAAGAUCUUGACCGUGUGUUAAUUGAAUGGAUUCGACAACAAAGAAGCAAAGAUAUGCCCCUGACUGGUUUAUUGGUCAUGAAACAAGCUAGAAUAUACCAUGAAGAACUGAACAUUGAAAGCGAGUGUGAAUAUUCAGAAGGGUGGCUGCAAAAAUUUAAAAAGCGUCAUGGAAUCAAAUAUCUUAAAAUGUGCGGUGAAAAAGCUUCUGUGGAUCAUGAAACAGCUGAAAAUUACAUUGAUGAAUUUGCUAAGAUAAUAUCUGAUGGAAACCUUAGCCCUGAACAAAUUUACAAUGCUGAUGAAACAGCUCUGUUUUGGUGCUAUGUUCCUAGAAAAACCUUAAUCAUGGCCGAUGAAAAGGUACCAACAGAUUUCAAGGAUGCCAAGCAAAGGUUAACUGUUCUUGGAUGUGCUAAUGCUGCAGGUACACAUAAGAUAAAACUGGCAGUGAUUGGGAAAAGCCUACCUCCAAAAUGUUUAAAAGGUACUGGCAGCUUACCUGUGCAUUAUUAUGCAAACAAAAAAGCAUCAGUAACCAGAGAAAUCUUUUCUGAUUGGUUCAAUAAGCACUUUGUGCCAGCAGCACGAGCUCAUUGCAAGCAAGCCGGACUAGAAGACAAUUGCAAAAUUUUACUGUUCCUAGACAACUGUUCAGCACAUCCCCCUCCAGAACUUCUUGUGAAAAGUAAUGUUUUCAGCAUCUUCCUUCCCCUGAAUGUGACAUCCGUAAUACAGCCUUGUGACCAAGGAAUUUUACGCUCCAUGAAGAGCAAAUAUAAACACUUUUUCUUAAACAGCAUGCUUGCUUCAGUGAACAGAGGCCUGAAAAUCCAGGACUUCCUUAAACAAUUUAGACUUAAGGAUGCCAUCUAUGCAAUUGCUAAUGCAUGGAAUGAUGUUGAUAAGUCAACAUUAACAAAUGCUUGGCACAGACUUUGGGCUACAAUGAUGUUUGAAAAUGACCUUGCUGAUGAGGAUUUUGAAGGAUUUAGAGAUUCUAAUGAGAAGAUCAUGAUAUCAAAACUUAUUACUUAUGCCAAAAGUUUAUCAGCUGAAAGUGUAAAUAAGUUAGAAGAAGCUGACAUUGAAGAAAUACUGAACAUUGAUAAUGAUGUACCCGUUGUGCAUCCUUUGAGCGAGGGGGAUUUUGCUGAAAUGGGUGUAAAUACAAAUCAGUAUGAAGAUAGUAGCAGUCACGAUGAUGACAUGAACACAGGUGAAAAAAUCUCUAUAGAACACCUGGUGAAAAUGUGUGACCAGUUAAUUGCUGGUCUUGAACAAUGUGCAUUCAUCAGUGAGCAAGAGACCAUGGCGAUUUACUCAAUUAAAGAGAAAUUGCUUAGACAAAAACCUGUGUUAAGGAGGCAGAUGACACUGGAAAAGGCCUUUUAAAAAGUUCUCUUCUAUGUCACUUGAGAAUCCUGUUUCUGGCUCAUUAUGUCUAGCUGCCUCCUGGUUUUAUAGACAAUGGUAAUAUUGGUGUAACUUUUUCUCCAAGAUUCUCUAGGAACCAGAAGUGAUGAACAUUUAUUGCAUUUAUAUGUGUUAUACAUUAGUUUUCAUCAGUAUGAAUAUAAUUUUUACUUAAAAAUUUCCUUUGGGCUGGGGAUGUGGCUCAAGCGGUAGCGCGCUCACCUGGCAUGCGUGCGGCCCGGGUUUGAUCCUCAGCAUCACAUUCAAACAAAGAUGUUGUGUCCGCCAAAUACUAAAAAAUAAAUAUUAAAAUUCUCUCUCUCUCUCUCUCUCUCUCUCUCACUGUCUCUUUAAAAAAAAAAAAAAUUUCCUUUAAAGUGAGAAGUUUUACCAGAACUAAAGAAAUAAGAAGCUUAAAGUAUAUAGUCUAUUCUUAUUUCAUUUACCAGUAAGUGUAUUCACUUAUUGAUAAAUUCACUAAUUUAUUUAUGUAAAUAAAUCAUAUUAUUAUUAUUUAUGGUCUUUAUUCCACUUAGUAUAAUUUUGUGUGUCUGUGAGUGGUGCUGGGUAUUGAACACAGGGCCUCACACUCACUAGGCAAGCACUCCACCAUUGCUGUAUCCCUAACCCUUCAUACAUUUCUUUACAGAAAUAUUAAUAUAUUUCAUACCCACUUAGUAUAUUACAAAGUAUAUAGUAUAUAUAUUAUAUGCCAAAGAAUACCAAUUUUUUUAUGAAUUGCAAAAAAAAAAAAAAAUCUCACUUCCAAAACACACGUGGUCUCCAAAGUUUUGGAUAAGAGAUUGUGGGCCUGAAAUACUUAACCUUAAGAGAUUUGUUUUGCAGAUCCAAUGAGAUUAUCAAUGUAAAGUGCCUAGUAUAAAAUAAAUACUCAUUAAAUGAUGUUGCUAUUACUAUUAUUUUAUUAUCCUACCCUUAAAAGUGUGGGGGAAAAAAGACCUUUCUGACAAUAGUUAAAUAAUUUAACCUAAUAUAAAUAAUGAUAAGCACUCUUCAAAUUUUAUCACCCUAAGAGAAGCUUUGGCAAUAUGCUGAUAAUAGGUACUUGAGUAUCUCCUAAUAUUUAUCCAGAGUUGGAAGGGUUUCCCACAUCAGAAGAUAAAACAUGUCAUGCCAUGUUGAACUACAUUUCAUGUAAAUAAAAUAUAUCCACUUCUAGUAUUCUCUUAUUCAUCAAAGAAAUAUUAAUAUUUCUAUCUGCUAAACAUUCCCUCAGCUCUCUCUGCCACAAACACCACAUAAGUAAGAACUAAAUCUCCCUUGUGAUCAAGGGUUCUUAACCCUCCUUGUGUAACCUCAGCUAUCAUAAGAAUUUGAACAUAACAGAAUAAAUAAAAUUUGUAUUCUAUAAAUAAGGGUAUUCUUAGCCUGAUGAAUGUGAAUUGAUUCCAGAUAGCCUGGUCUUUAUAGAAUUUGUUCAUUUAAAAUAUAAAAUUUAUUACUUUUCUUUUAUUAUAAAAGAAUACAUAAGAAUUCUAGAAAAUGGAAAAUGUGGUUUUUAAAGAAGGAAAUAAAAUUAUCCCCAAUCUUAUAACUAUUGAUAUUCAUUCUUAGUUUUUAUUUACUUUCAUAGCUAUCUAUUGUGUUAAACAGUAAGCCUUAGGCAGAAAGCAGGUCCAUUCAUUCCUGUUCUCUAUCAUCACCUCUUCACAGUAGCAGGCAUAGUAACAUGUUUUAAAAAUACAAACAUUUACAAACUUAGAAAUCAAACUGUAUUCACAUAUUUUUUAUUUUUUGUUGUUGCUGCCUCUGUGUGUGUGUGUGUGUAUUUUUUCAGGAUUACUUUUUGUUACUACUACAUCAUGAGCAUCAAAUGUAUUUGAUCUGACAAAAAACAGAUUUGUACAUUCGAUCCUUUUUGCUUCUGAGACUUGUUUCUCCGAAUCCUCUCUGCCUUCUCUGUUUUCCCCACUAUUCCCCAGUCAUAAUUUCCCCUCUUAUUUCCUAUUAGCUUGUGUACCUGCCCUCUACUAGCUACUCCCAUAAGGUAUAGUAAACCCUCACCAUCAUGAGAACUUUUAGAUAACCUGACUGGCAGUUGGCUCCCAUUCUCCACUUAGUUGGGGUGAGCUCAGAUUGUACAGAAAGAAGCAGGAGAAGGAAGGGAAAGAGAAUCCCAACAGGAAAGGUAAUAGCAACAACUCCACCUUGGUAAACAGGGAUGUGGCAGCUGGUCCUUGAGUCCUCGGUAUGCUUUCCAAUCUCAUAGAAUCAGUAAUCAAACUGGGUCCCAACUAAUGGAAAUUCCUAAUGUUAUUGUGCUUCUCUGGCCAUCUCAGGUAAUGGUUAAAAAACAGACCCAUUGAUAUUUUAGCCAAAGUAAACAAAUGACCAUCAAGAGAUACUUAAUUUCAUAUCAUGAGCUGGACCCUAGGAAUUGGUCUUAUAUAUCAAAUUUUUGGACCUCAUUUACUAUGUUAUGUCAGGCUUUUUUCUGUUCUUUUUACAAAAUUCUAAUGAUAGAUAGUAUUCCUCUCCCAAAUAAUGUGCUUUACUUGAGCUGUUCGUUUCUUUACCUAGGAAUAAGUAUCAUCCACAAUGGGAAUAAUAAUAAUUAUUAUUAUUAUUAUUAUUAUUUGAGAGAGAGAGAGAAUUUUUUAAUAUUUAUUUUUCAGUUUUCGGUGGACACAACAUCUUUAUUUUUUUAUUUUUAUGUGGUGAUGAGGGUGGAACCGAGGGCGCUCGGCGCAUGUCAGGCGAGCUAGCGCAUUAACGCCUGAGCCACAUCCCCAGCCCUUAUUUAUUUUAUUUUUUUUUUAAGAGAGAGAGAGAAUCUUUUUUGUUGAUGGACACAACACAAUGCCUUUAUUUUUUUUUAAUAUGGUGCUGAGAAUCGAAUCCGAGUCCCGACCGUGCUAGGCGAGCACUCUACCGCUGAGCCACAACCCAGCCCCCACAGUGGGAAUUCUAAUAGAUAAAUAGUGACUGCCUAAAGUACAAGAUUGAGAACGGAACCAUGUCCUGGCUCCCGUCGGUCAGUGUGUGGUGAUCCUCUGUUGAAGUCUGCCAUUGGUAAAGAAAGUUGAAGGGAAAAAUAUGUACCAGGUACCCCUCCUGAGGAUCUUAUAUUUUUCCCACUCACCUUUGAUUUAGGACCUUCUACUUAUGCUGAAUUAGUUCGUAGGUGAUCUCACAGUCUUGUAUCCUUAACCCUUAUCCUGCAUUAUGUUGUUCCAGACAUAGACGGGAUCCCUUUCCUUUACACACACACACACACACACACACACACACACACACACACACGGCCCCCAGCCAUUUGUAUUUCAAUCAUUAUUAAAAGACUGGUCAUAGAGAGGUUACUCUGAUAUAAACUAGAGACAUUAAGACUUAAUGUCUUAAAGACUUAAGACAUUAUAGUCUUAAAAAGUUCAGCUAAGGGGCUGGGAUUGUGGCUCAGUGAUGGAGUGCUUGCCUCGCACAUGUGAGGCACUGGGUUCGAUCCUUAGCACCACAUAAAAAUAAAUAAAUGUAUUGUGUUCAUCUACAACUAAAAAAAUAUAUUUUUAAAAAAGAUCAGCUAAAAUGAACCCUGUGAUGUUGAAUCAGAAUCCAGUGCAUUAGUAUGAACUCGUUUUUAAUAUGUAAACACGGUAGAUGCAGAAAUAUAGAUGUGUUAGUAUACAUACACAUAGGUUAGUAUACAUGCAUCUGUCUUCACCAAAAGAGCCAAAAAGUAAUAAUUUACCAGUAUUGAAAAGCUCACCAGGCACGAAAUUUGAUUUCUAAAUACCAUUCUCCAAUAAAAGGAACCAGGGUUUCUUAGAAGGUUGAUUGGUCUGGGUGCCUUGGCGCAUGCCUAUAAUCCUAGUGGCUCAGGAGGCUGAGACAGGAAGAUCAUGAGUUCAAAGGCAGCCUCAGCAAAAGCGAGGUGCUAAGCAACUGAGUAAGACCCUGCCUCUAAAUAAAAUGCAAAAUAGGGCUGGAUGUGGCUCAGUGGCCGAGUGCCCCAGAGUUCAAUCCCCAGUAUCCACCCCACAAAAAAGAAGGGUGAUUGGUCCCAACAGAGCCAGAAAAAAAAAAAAAAGUCUGAAACAUCUUCUGAAGGAAAAAAAUUACUUUUCUUAACGUGAAUCUUUUCUAAGAUACACAAGAAUCAACAUAAAGAAGCUCUGAAUGGCCAAAACUGAACAAUUUUAGCAACAAAAUAAUGAUCAUAUUGAAUUAUAAUACAUAUGGCAAAAUACGUAUCCCUAAUAUCCCUCAUAUAGUUUAAAUAAAUAACUGGCUAAAUAAAUAAGUGGGGUAGGGGAUUCUCUUCCUUAAAGUAGAAUUAUAAUUCUUCGCUAGAUUAAUAGAAAUAGAAAGUCAUCAUUAAGCAAAUAACAGUGAUAAUUGCUCCAGAUAUGAUAUAUUGAUGGAUGCAAAAAUUAGUGAACGAAAAUUUGAGAAGAAACAUACUUUGUAUGGUCUCAGAUUAUCUCCAACUGCCACCUUUGGAGAUCAGAUGUAACUAUGGUUUGGGUUUAAAUAAUAUUUGUUUUCUCUCUUACACUCCCAAGUUUGUGAAAAUUCCUAUAAUCCUAUUUCUUUGUUUUCUUUAAAUGAUGACUAUGGGCAUUAACUCUGAAUCUGGACAUGUCUAAAAUUAUCUUCAUUUUAUUCUUUUUCUUUGAAAAUAUUGUUAGAAUGCCUUUUAAAACCUUCAUUCCUUUGUUAAUAAUCUGGUUUUUGUUUUAUUUUGUUUUAUAAAUACUAGGAUUUUACCCUUCAUCUUAGUUUUCUAAAAUUUUACCUGCCAGUGCCUAGUUAUGAUCUGGGGUUUUUGAAUUUGUAUUUGUAUUUAAAUUUGUUUUUCUAGGUAGCAUUCAUAGGCCCUUUGGAAGUCUUUUUAUUGACAAAGAGAUAUUUUAUUCUGUUAUUUGAAUAUUUCCUCUGGCCUACUCCCACCAUUCUCUCCUUCUAGAACUCUUAGAUUUUCCUAAUAGUUGGUAGUUCUUGGUUGUGUCCUUAAUGUUUGCAUUUCCCUUACCUGCUCAGCUUCCUAUUUGUUUGUGAAUGCUUCUCUAUGUGUUUUGUUUUUCUUCCUGUGGUUACAGACAGAGUUGCUCAGUAGUACACCUGGACAUGGGAACUCUUGCUUCCUCUGCAGGUACACAAAUCUCUUGGGUAUUUCCCUGCUUAUAAUAACUAGGUGUUACCAUUCACUGAAAUUGCUUUUGCAGUUUACUCCAUAGCACAGUAGAAGAACAAAGAAAAGAACUGCCUAAAUAUAAAAGAAAAAUCACAGUGAAUGUUGAUUUGAGAUUUCCUUCUGGUCCCCAUAUCCAUUUUCUUCAAGCUUAGAGCAAUACUGAAGCCUAUCUCACAACUUAUAGGUGCCCUCUUCGCAAGUUUUGAGUAGUGGUUCCUUCCUUCAUUGUUUCCCCAAUUCUAUAUUCUGUCUUUCAUCAAUUCCCCCAAAUUUUCUGGUCCAUUUAAAGCAAUUCAAUUUGUUAAAUCAGCAUGGUUAUCAAGUAUCUCCUUUGGGUUAGGGUUUGGAUCAGGAGAAAAUGGCAACUAGAUAAAUUUGUUUUGAUCCAAUAAGACACUACUUUUCAGACAAAAUAUUAUCCAAAGGAUUACUGUAGUAAACAGGUAAUAACAAAGCAAUCUGGCUGAAGCAGAGGAGGCAGUCCUGAGCAUGAAUUGCUUGAUCUCUUCUUUGCACUUCACUGCAGUUCCUGAGACCUUCCAUGGAUCCUAGAAUUCUGCAGAAUAGUUUAGAAAAUCACUAGCAGGAUUUAUAGCUCAGAGCUCAGGAAUAUCUGUCCCUAGUAGAUUCUUUUAUUUAUAUAUAUUAUAUAUAUAUAUAUAUUUUUAUUUAUUGGCACCAUGAUUGAACCCAGGGGUGCUUAAUCACUAAGCCACAUACCCAGCCCUUUUUAUUUUUUUUAUUUUGAGACAGGGUCUUGCUAAGUUGCUUAGGGCUUGGCUUAAGUUACUGAAGCUAACCAUGAACUUCGGUCCUCCUGACUCAGCCUCCCAAAUUGCUGGGAUGUAUUUGUUUGUGUCUAUCUCGAUCUGGAUCUCCUGCCCUUCCCCUCUCCCUGGCUGUAGAUCAAACCUAGGGCCUCACACAUGCUAGGCAAGUGCUCUAUCCCUGAGGUAUACCCCCCAAUCUCUAAUAGGUUCUUUUUUUUUUUUAAGAGAGAGAGAGAAUUUUAAUAUUUUUUAGUUUUUGGCGGACACAACAUCUUUGUUUGUAUGUGGUGCUGAGGAUCAAACCCGGGCCGCACGCAUGCCAGGCAAGCGCACUACCACUUGAGCCACAUCCCCAGCCCCUCUAAUAGGUUCUUAAUAAAUAGUAGCUAUACAUAUAUGUAUGUGUGUAUUUAAGAUAGGGUCUUUCUGAGAGCCAUGGCCAAGUAGGAAUGACGCAUGGCAUUUUUGGUUGAAAGGUGAUGCCAGCAAGCCAUUGAAAUGAUAAUGAUUAUGUUAAGAUGUGCAUUCAAUUGGAGAUUAGACGCCUGCUGUCCGCCUGGGCCUGCUACUUUGGAGCUCUCUGCUACUUUGGAGCUCUCUGCUACUUUGGAGCUCUCUGCUACUUUGGAGCUCUGGAGGGACUCCCGGAGAGUUCCCAUUGGUUGGGGAAGUGCGCUAGGAGGGAAUUCUGGAGGAGGGAUUUCCUGUUGGAGUAGUGUGUCCCGGGAGAAGGCUGCAUGCGUGGGAUUUGCGGGAGUUUGGGAAAUAAAGUUUGUUCCUGCUUGAGUGGCUCGUGAUUUUGUGCCCAGCCAGACUGCGGCAGGGUCUCACUAGAUUGCCUGGGCUAGCCUCAAACUUGUGAUCCUUCUGUUUUAGCCUCUAGAAUAACUGGCAUGAUAGGCACAUGCCUAUGUGCCUGGCUGCAGCAAUCAUUAUUGUUACUAUUAAAACAUUGCCCCUCAACCUUAGACCUGCCUAAGUCCUGAGACCAACUUCUGCUACAUUCUUAAGGUCCCAUAUUAGAGAAUUUUUAAAAAGAAAUUUAAAGAACAAAUGGCAACUGAGUAACUACUAAAUAUACCUAAAUGCUCUCUCAGACAUUUAAAAUAUCACCUUGCUUAAUCUGCACAAUGACCCCAUGAGACAAGCGUUUUGAUCUCCAGGAUGUAAUAAGGAAGUAGUGGCUCAGAGAAGAUAGGCAGGAAUGAGCACAAAUUAAAAUGUGUAAGAAAUGUUCUGAUAGUCCAUUUCCUUAAAUUUAAUUAAAACCAAGUGCUGGCAUGAUCCCAUUGGAAUGGAGGAAAUGAUGUCUCAGCUAUCAGGAGCUUUCCGGGUUUGAGGGUCUUGCCCAGGAUGAAAAGCUUGGAGGGGACUGUCCUGUCAUCUUCCUUGCAUCUGCACAGCUCUGCUAAAUGCCAAAAAAAAAAAAAAAAGUAUACUCUAGAUUGCACCACUCGGUGGCUUCUGUGUGACCUGUGAUGCCAGGAACUUCUGAGAGGUUGGAGUCCCAAUAUAUUUAGAACCUCAAGAUACAUUCCACCAUACAGCCAUGUUCUGUGAGGACCAGCUUCCUCCUCCAGCCACUGCACCAAGAUACCCAAAACCUCAUGAAUUCUUUCAUCCCUGGCACUCACUUUAUAGUGUAAGAGACUUUUUUGUCUCUUCUUUCUUUCCCUCAAUGUGUUCCCUUUCUCCUCUUUUCAGAAUAGCUAGUGGAAUCUAACAGAGUUUUUAAGCUUUUACAAAAUAAUUACUGCUUCAUAGCUGGGCACAGUGGCCUACGCCUGUAAUCCCAGCAGCUCCGAAGCCUGAGAUAGGAGGAUCAAGAGUUCAAAGCCAUCCUCAGCAAUGGCGAGAUGCUAAGCAACUCGGCGAGACCCUGUCUCUAAAUAAAAUACAAAAUAGGGCUGGGGAUGUGGCUUAGUCGUCAAGUGCCCUGUACCCCUGGUACUGCUACUAGUACUAGUACUACUACUACUACUACUACUAAUAAUAAUAAUAAUAAUAAUAACUGCUUCAUGGAACUUUCUCUUUUGUUUUGAGGAGAAAAAAAAACUCAGCCAGUUACAGUGGUGCAUGCCUAUAAUCCCAGCAACUCAGGACUGAGCAAGAGGAUCUCAGCAGCUUCAGCCAGCCUCAGCAAUUUAGCAAGACCCUAAGCAACUUAACAAGACCCAGUCUCAAAAUUUAAAAAAAAAAAAAAUUUAAAAGUUGGGGAUGUCACUCAAUGGUUAAGUGCCCCUGGGUUCAAUCCCUGAUACCCAAAAAAUUUUAAAUUAAAAACAAAAAUACCCUGAGACAUGGGGACUGAGGGUGUAGUUUAGUAGAGCACAUGUUGAGCAUGUGUGAAGUUCUAGGUUUUAUCCCCAGCACCACGAAAGAAAGAGAGAGAGAAAGAAAGAAAAAAGAAAAGAAAAAGAAAAACAAAUCUACAGCAAGAAAAUACCAAAUCUAAUGUUGAGAAAGGAGGUGGUGAGUACAGAAUAUGGAUAAUUAUCUCAGUAAAUUUUCCUGCCACAAAAUUUCAGUUACUGAUCCAAAGCCCUCCUAACACUAGUAAGAAACAAGAGUUAGGAUUCAAAAACAUUCUUCUAGCUAUGCACACAUUCAAAAUAGAAAUUCAUGAAAUAUUCACCAGUUGUUGCAGAACAGAUGCUUUUGGGCAAGGGAGAGCAGCAGCUGCAAAUUCUAGGUGAGCUGCCCAAUGACCACUCAUUGAGAUGGCAAAUGGGUGAGACCCAAGGAUUUGAGUCUUAUCAGGGUUUGCAAUCCAAACCCACAACUGACUCACCUAUAGCAACACAUUUCAUCAUCUUACACUAGAUAAAUGAAGUACUUCCCAAGGACAGAAUGUAAAUUAUUUUCGCCUCACAACUUUCCCAUGAUUUAUGCUUAUGUAAAAUUGUACUUUCCAGAAAUGAAAUGACAGUACUAUUAAAGAGCAUCAAAAUGGAAUAAACCCAGUAUGUAAGGGAGAGGUAAAAUGAAGUGACUUUUCUACAUGGUUAUACUUUCAGAAGAUUUUUAAAUUAUAUUCUUUUCAACAAUAAUUUCACAUUUCCAGGUAGAAGGUUUUUCUUUAAGUUUUAUUUCAAGCAACUCCAAUUUGUUCAAAUUAAUUUAUCCCUUGCAAUAUCAAUAUGUACUUGAUUAUUCAAAUUUAAGGAGUUUAGACACUGAGAAAACUAAGUUAUUAAGUUACUGAGGAGUUUAGCCACUGAGAAAACUGAGUCACUUAGUUUUGGUUAAAUCUUUAUGUUUACCAAAGUAUUUUUAUAUUUAACUCAACUGUAAAAAACACAUUAAAAUUUUUUUAAAUAAAUGGGGAGGUAGAAUGAGCCCUGAACAACCAAAAUAAUGAAUUUAAAAGUUCAAGUUUUCAUAAGUCAGGCUUUUGAACCACAUUAUUUUGUUUACCCAGUGCAUUUUUAUCUGAAUAAAUACUUUAGACAUAUCAUAUAAAAUGUGAAGAGAAAAAUAAGAAAAAUUGAACAUAGAAAGAAAAAUUCUUCUGAAGAUCUACCACCCAAAAACUUCCACUAACAUUCUUAUUUUAUUAUAUAAAAUAUAGACAAAUUUUAUAUAUGUGUAUGUUCCAGUAUUCCCACUAUUGUUACUAUUGCUAUUUCUUUUAUAUAGCCAUCAACAGUAUUUUCAUUGAAUUCUCUCUUUCUUUUUAGUAAUUGUAGAAUAAUUUCCUCCAUUUUAAAAAUUGACUCUUCAUAAUCCUUUUUAAUGACUAUCUAAUACACUAUUGUGAAACUUCAUUAUUCAUUUAACUAAUUCCCUAUCAGAAACAGAGGAUUUUCUGAUUUCUGUACCUUCCUCUCCAUCGGGCAUUGUAGUAUAUGAUGGUGCUAAGAGUUUCUGAAUACCACAGGAUAAACAUCUUUGAGUAAUCAAUUUUCAACAAAAUUGAAAAAGGAGAUUCGUUUUAAAGUAAACCUACCUUAGACAUAUUAUCAAAUGUAAUUAAAAGGCUGGGGAUAUAGCCCAGUAGUAGAACAUUUGCCUAGCAUGUACAAGGCCCUGGGUUCAAUCCCUAGCAUUAGAAAUGAUUAAGUAAAAAUUUUAAAAAAGAAGUUAUAGAAAUAUUAGGAAUUUUAAAGAUAAAAUAGGAAAAUGAUUUUUUCUUUAGUUUCCCAAGGUGGGUUUUAAAACUAAAUGAAAUGUGAUUAAAGAGAAUGAUUUUGUUCAGAUACUUGUGAACCAUAGAUGCAACCUGCAUUGGUAGAAUUAUGUAAUGGUCUUUUGUGAUGCUUAAUUUUACAUCUUCUGUACAGAUACACAAGAAAGGGAUGUCUGUAUAAAUACAUAAGAAAACAAACUAAUUAAACUUUCCCUUACUUUUACUGAAGAAUAUCUAGGAGUAAAUGUAUGUUUCCAUGCUCUGUUUUAAGUACGUGUAUCCUUUAUCUAUAUUUUAUAUAAUAAAAUAAGAAAAAC